rnacentral:tRNA from 1 species
CGAUUCAGACUACCCAAAUUGCAAAUUUGGAGAAGAACUUUGGUUCCUGGGUCU